UGAUUACGUGAACCAACUACCGCAGUAGCGGCAUCUGUUCCCAUCUCUUCCGCCACCGUCUCAAUCUCGCCCAUCUCCACCACCACACCCGUCCGCCGCCGCCGCCGACGACGACGACGACGAUGGCCCGCCUCCUCGCGCAAACCCUGACCCUAGCCCGCCCCGCUUCCUCCCCCUCCACCACCGCCGCAUCGGCCUCCCUCCGUGGCCUCGCCACCAAGGUCGAGAUCAUCGAGAUCGAUCUCACCGAGGAAGACGCUAGCUCCUCGGCCCACGGCUCCUCCCCCUCGUCCCCGUCGGUCGAGGUGGUCGGGAUCCGGCGCCUGGAGGAGGCCAUCCACGGCGUCAUGGUGCGGCGCGCCGCGCCCGACUGGCUCCCCUUCGUGCCGGGAGGGUCCUUCUGGGUGCCCCCGCUGCGGCGCCCCCACGGGGUCGCCGAGCUCAUGGGCCGGAUCACGGCCGCCGGUGGCGCUGACGGGGUUGCCGAGCUGAUGGGCGGUAUCGCGGCCGCCGAGGGCACCGAGGGAGUCGCCGGGGCCGUUGGCGGCGCCGUCCAAGUCGUGGAGCUCGACGCGCCCAUGACGGAGGAGCAGGCGCUAUGCUUCUCCACCUCACGCGGCUGGCCCUCGGCCUCUUUCUUCCUCGAAGGGAAAUCGCCACAUUCAAGGAGGAAAUCGAGGAAAGGUGCAACUCAAACUGAUGAUGAAGAAAGCUGAUUCGUUUGUGCUAUGUUGCAAGGGGCUAAAAUCCAAAUAAAUGAAAUUUACAGGUUAGAUAUGGAAAUGCUCCCUUUUUUUAUGUAUGAUUCUGCUACAUCUCAUCGUGCAACAUGGCUGGAGCAAGAAUGGCUGUUCCUACAUGAUAUAUGGGGACAAACAUCUUGUCACACUGAACUAUGCAAACAGUGAGAUUCUGGUGGACAAGGCCAUGGAUUGCAAAGGUGUAGUUAUACUUGCUGGCUCCAACAAGAAAACGCAGUGCAGAGUUUGAUGACUCUGCCAUGAUCAAUGUACAUAUGCAUAGCAAGGAGCCUAUUUCUGGUAAACCAUGGCACCCGCUACAGUCGAUGUUGCCUCAUCUGUCCUGGAAGAUAAAUCUGUAAAUUCGGUCUGAAGCUCAGCAUCAGGUGGUUAUUGUAUCAACAAGCCCUGGCACAAAGGCUUCGUUUGUAAUAAUAAGCAUUGCAUGGAGCUGUCUGCUGAAUGUGUGCUAGGGUACUUUCAAUACUGGGCUCAGCAUCAGUCCAGAAGCUGUACUCUGAACAAAGAUUCUGGAUGGCUUCUUGUGCCAACUAGGAACAAUGUAAAACUGAUGUAAGCAUCUCCGCCCACUCCUGAUCCAUGUAAAACUAAGUUAAAAGUUUUAAUUGUUAUAGAUUGUUGUCGUAUGGACAGCUUUAGGAGCAUCUCAAUUGCUACUGUUCUCUGCACAUGUAUGAUGUUUGAUUGUAAAACAAAAUCUUAAAUUGUUACUCAUUAAGGCCCGAAUACAUGAAUAAGGUAGGAAUGCAUAUGCAAAAUAGAGGAAUGAAAGAUACAGGAAUUUUGUAGGAA